rnacentral:rRNA from 1 species
AUUGAACGCUGGCGGAAUGCUUUACACAUGCAAGUCGAACGGCAGCACGGACUUCGGUCUGGUGGCGAGUGGCGAACGGGUGAGUAAUGUAUCGGAACGUGCCCAGUCGUGGGGGAUAACGUAGUGAAAAUUACGCUAAUACCGCAUACGAUCUAUGGAUGAAAGCGGGGGAUCGCAAGACCUCGCGCGAUCGGAGCGGCCGAUAGCCGAUGAGGUAGUUGGUGGGGUAAAGGCCCACCAAGCCAGCGAUCUGUAGCUGGUCUGAGAGGACGACCAGCCACACUGGAACUGAGACACGGUCCAGACUCCUACGGGAGGCAGCAGUGGGGAAUUUUGGACAAUGGGCGAAAGCCUGAUCCAGCCAUUCCGCGUGCAGGAUGAAGGCCCUCGGGUUGUAAACUGCUUUUGUACAGAACGAAAAGGUUUCUACUAAUACUAGGAGCUCAUGACGGUACUGUAAGAAUAAGCACCGGCUAACUACGUGCCAGCCGCCGCCGUAA